rnacentral:rRNA from 1 species
UACGUAGGUGACCAGCGUUGUCCGGAUUUACUGGGCGUAAAGAGCGCGCAGGCGGUCGUUCAAGUCGAGUGUGAAAGCCCCCGGCUCAACUGGGGAGGGUCAUUCGAUACUGAUCGACUGGAAGGCAGGAGAGGGAAGCGGAAUUCCCGGUGUAGCGGUGAAAUGCGUAGAUAUCUGGAGGAACACCGGUGGCGAAGGCGGCGUUCUGGACUGCAUCUGACACUGAAAGACGAAAGCCAGGGGAGCAAACGGG